UUGCCAUUUCUGGACUCAACUUAACCGCUUCGUCUUCGGCCGCGAUCUCGCCUGUUUUCGAUCUGACUGUUCGAGCGGAUAAUCCGAACAAGAAGAUCGGAAUCUAUUACCAGACAGGUAGUUCAGUUCAAAUCUAUUUCUCUAAUGAGAAGCUUUCCGACGGCGUUUUGCCUGAUUUCUUCCAGCCUUCGAAUAAUGUCACUGUGUUUCGAUCUUCCGUGAGAGGCUCUGGCGUUAAUUUGUCGAGUACAGCGAAGAAUGCUCUGAUUGAUUCGCG
rnacentral:misc_RNA from 1 species